CGGGGCUUAAAGUCUUGUAAUUGGAAUGAUGGGAAUUUAAACCUCUUCCAGAGUAUCAAUUGGAGGGCAAGUCUGGUGCCAGCAGCCGCGGUAAUUCCAGCUCCAAUAGCGUAUAUUAAAAUUGUUGCAGUUAAAAAGCUCGUAGUUGAAUUUCUGCUGCAUUGCUUGUGUCCCUCUGGGGUCUGUGCGUGUGGCUUUUUUCGGACGGAGUUUCUUUGUCUGAAUGUUUACUUUGAGAAAAUUAGAGUGCUCAAAGCAGGCUUUCGCCUUGAAUAGUUUAGCAUGGAAUAAUAAAGUAGGACUUUGGUUCUAUUUUGUUGGUUUUAGGUACCAAAGUAAUGGUUAAUAGGAACAGUUGGGGGCAUUCGUAUUUAACUGUCAGAGGUGAAAUUCUUAGAUUUGUUAAAGACGAACUACUGCGAAAGCAUUUGCCAAGGAUGUUUUCAUUAAUCAAGAAC
rnacentral:rRNA from 1 species